UACGAAGGGGGCUAGCGUUGCUCGGAAUGACUGGGCGUAAAGGGCGCGUAGGCGGUUUGGACAGUCAGGCGUGAAAUUCCUGGGCUCAACCUGGGGGCUGCGUUUGAUACGUGUUGUCUGGAGUUCGGAAGAGGGUCGUGGAAUUCCCAGUGUAGAGGUGAAAUUCGUAGAUAUUGGGAAGAACACCGGUGGCGAAGGCGGCGACCUGGUCCGAUACUGACGCUGAGGCGCGAAAGCGUGGGGAGCAAACAGG
rnacentral:rRNA from 1 species